UUGUGAAAUUCGCGCGUGCGGUGUUUGUUUAUAAAUACAAUUGGACCAAUUGAUGAAAUUCCCAAUUAAUAUCGAACUGUAAAUUGGCCGGAAACUACGCAUUAUAACCAACAAGGAUGCCCGUUAUCGAGGGCAAGGAUUUGGUGCAGCUGCAACGCCGCCAGCAACAGGUGCGCAACAUCUGCAUUUUGGCGCAUGUGGAUCAUGGCAAGACAACGCUGGCGGACUCCCUGGUUGCCAGCAAUGGGAUCAUAUCCCAAAGGAUGGCAGGUAAGCUUCGCUACCUGGACAAUCGGGCGGAUGAGCAGGAGCGUGGAAUCACCAUGAAAAGCAGCAGCAUCUCACUGUAUUACCAAGAGGCUGAGAAUCCUGAUGGAAAUCAGGAUUUCCUCAUCAAUCUUAUUGAUUCCCCGGGGCAUGUGGACUUCUCCAGCGAAGUGUCCACCGCAGUGAGGCUAUGCGAUGGCGCCAUUGUCGUGGUGGAUGUGGUGGAAGGUGUGGGUCCGCAAACUCGCGCCUGCUUGAAACAAAUCUACGAGGAGCAAUUGAAACCUGUCCUGGUGCUGAACAAGUUGGACCGUCUGAUCCUAGAGAAGCAGCUUGAUCCGCUGGAUGCGUACUUUCAUUUAACCCAAGUCCUUGAGCAAGUCAACGCCGUCUUGGGUAGCAUUUUUGCAUCGGAUAUCUUGGCCAGGGAAGACAUCACCAAGAAGGAUAACUACGAGUCUGCCCUGGAGGAAGUGGACGACUCAGAGCUGUAUUUUUCGCCCAGCUCUGGGAAUGUCAUCUUCUGCUCCGCCUAUGAUGGCUGGGCCUUCUCCGUCCGAGACUUUGCCGCCAUGUAUUCCAAGCGUUUGGAAAUGAAAAGAGAAGACCUCGAGCAGGUUCUGUGGGGUGACUUCUAUUAUAACUCCAAGAAAAAGGAAGCUAUGCCAGGUGCCCAGGAGAAAGCCAAGAAGCCCAUGUUUGUGCAGUUUGUGCUGGAGAAUAUUUGGAGUCUGUACGACAUUAUAGCUAUCAGAAAGGACAAGGACAAACUGCCCGGAAUAGCUGAGAAGCUGGGACUUAAGUUGGCCGUUAGAGAUUUGCGCUUGACCGAUCCUAAGCUGCAGAUCAAGGCAGUACUUGGACAGUGGCUACCCAUUGAUAGAAGUGUCCUGCACAUGGUCGUAGCUCACGUUCCACCGCCGCACCAAAUCAGCGAGGAGAGGGCCCAGAGAUUGCUUUACCCCGCGAAUGUGGAACUAAAUACACUGCCUCUGGAAACGCUGAAGCUUAAGGAGAGUUUCACCAGCUGCGAUGCGAGCAGCUCCAAUGUGAUUGCCUUUGUGUCCAAGAUGUCACCUGUGCAUGUAACCCAACUGCCACAAAAUAGACCCAAGAGACUGACCGACCAGGAGCUGCAGCAACGUAGAGACGAAGUACGCCGUCGGAUUGAAGAACGAAAGCAGCAAACUGACCAAACUGAACUGGAGAAGAUUACCCAGGGUGUGGAGCAGCUGAGCUCCCAGGCAGAGGUAGCAAAAAAGGAGGAAUCCGAACCGGAGUCGGAACCCAACGAGUAUGUUUUCAUAGCCUUUGCCAGAGUGUUCAGUGGAACCUUGAAGCGUGGCAUGCAGCUGUUUAAUCUUUCGCCAAAACAUGAUCCUCGCCAGCCAACGCAUCGCAGGGAGGAUGAGGCUCCCUAUGCUAGCCGUGUGACCAUCGGCGAUCUUUACAUGUUCAUGGGCGGUGAGCUCCAACUUCUGGAUGAAGUGCCCGCAGGGAAUAUAGUUGGGAUCGGAGGCCUGGAAUCCCACAUUGUGAAGACAGCCACUUUGAGCAGCAGCUUGGACUGCACUUCCUUUAGUGAACUGAGUAUCAUGGCCACGCCCAUUCUCCGAGUGGCCAUCGAACCCGUUCAGCCGCAGGAUAUGCCGAAGCUGGUUAAAGGUUUGAAACUCCUGAACCAAGCCGAUGCCUGCGUCCAGGUGUCUGUGGCCACGACCGGUGAACAUGUGAUCACCACUCUCGGUGAGGUGCAUGUGGAGAAAUGUGUCCAUGAUUUGGAGCAGAGCUAUGCCAAGAUUAAGGUGAAUGUCUCCAAACCAAUUGUGUCGUUCAGGGAAACAAUUGUUCCAGCUGCCACCGUGGAUAUGGUGAAUGAGGCCAUUGUUAAGACGGCUGAGGAUAAGGAUGUGACCAAGAAGAUUGCUGUCCAGCAGACACUCAACAAACUGGGCACCCUCAAGGUGAUAGCGGUGCCCUUGCCGGUGGAGGCAGUGGAGCUUCUGGAAAAGCAUGCAGAGUUUUUCAAGGAACUAUCUGCCAUACCCCGAAAUCAACUCCUCUCAGAGAAGUGGACCACUUUGCUGGCUUCAAUCAAACUGAAACUGAUUGCUGCUCUCCAGGAACUUCAGUUGUUUGGCUUGAGUUCCCUCUCCCCCGAAGAGCUCGUGAAUCGAGUUUGGGCUCUGGGUCCUCGAAAUUGUGGCACCAACAUUCUACUUAACCUUAGCGACUAUGAGCAGCCGAACUUUUGGUCUAGUCACGCCAAGUCUUCGGAGACAGAUAUUCGUUCCGCAAGCGAUUCGCGUAAGGAUUUCAAUAGUUCUUUGGUGAAUGGCUUCCAAUUGACCUCGGGAGCGGGUCCUUUGUGCGAAGAGCCCAUGCAGGGUGUGUGUUUUGCCGUUCUCGAAUGGUCUAUUCAAUCGGAAGGAGAGGAUUUGAAUGCAAGAGGUCCCUUUUCGGGACAAGUUUUGACUGCUGCCAAGGAAGUGUGUCGUCAGGCAUUCCAGAAUCAACCACAAAGAUUGGUUACUCCCAUGUACAGCUGUAAUAUUGUGGUCAAUGCUGAAAUGUUGGGUAAAAUGUACGCAGUAAUUGGCCGGCGGCAUGGCAAAAUCCUCUCCGGUGAUUUAACCCAAGGAAGCGGCAACUUCGCGGUCACCUGUCUGUUGCCAGUGAUCGAGUCGUUCAACUUUGCCCAGGAGAUGCGAAAGCAGACAUCUGGCCUGGCCUGUCCCCAGCUCAUGUUCAGCCACUGGGAGGUGAUCGACAUUGAUCCUUUCUGGUUGCCCACCACCGAGGAGGAGCUAAUGCAUUUUGGCGAGAAGGCCGAUUCGGCCAACAGGGCCAAGCUCUACAUGGACAGUGUCCGAAGGAGGAAGGGUCUUUUCGUUGACGAACAGGUGGUGGAGCAUGCGGAGAAGCAGCGCACUUUAUCCAAGAACAAGUGAUUUGGAAACUAUAAAUACGAGGCGCUGGCGUCGGACCGAGCUCAUUCCGUCGGCGGCCCCCCGAGUGUUAACAUCUGUAGUGAUAGUGAUAGUGAUUUCCCUUCAACCCGGAAAAUAUCACCUGACCAGUGCGCUAUAUCUGGAUAACCAGGAGGAAGCUUACUUUGAUGCUAUCUAUUUGAAGUCACUAUACAAUGAAAGGAACUAAGCAAUGAUGACAAUGGAUGAUGUGUCCUCUAUUGGGACUAUAAAUACGAGGCGCUGGCGUCGGACCGAGCUCAUUCCGUCGGCGGCCCCCCGAGUGUUAACAUCUGUAGUGACAGUGAUAGUGAUUGCUCUUGACUUGAAUAAUAUCACCUGACCAAUGAAGUACAUCCGGAUAACCAGGAGGAAGCUAACAUUGAUGAUACCUAAUUAAACUCACUCUACAAUGGAAGGAACUAAGCAAUGAUGACCAAGGAUGAUGUGUCCUCUAUUGGGCUGCAAAAAUAUCGAUAGCAGUCCCCUGCUCAGAAACUGGUCACACUCAGCCCUAUUGACAUUGGCACUAGAGAUGGGCACCGCAGAUAGCGAUGUUUUUUAAUUAAAUUGGUUGUAUUUCAUAAUUUAAUUUAUUUUAAAUUAACGCUCUAUCGCAGGGACAUAGACAAAAUUUAAAGCAUUAACAAACGUCAAUAUAAGUUUAUUUUGUUAGUAGAGAAAUUUAAAUUUAAAUUUAGAAAGAUUUCAUUUACGUUCAUUUCAUCAUCAUCG